rnacentral:tRNA from 1 species
GCCUGGAUGGCUCAGUCGGUUAAGCAUCUGACUUCGGCUCAGGUCAUGAUCUCAGUUUGUGGGCUCCAGCCCCAUGUCGGGCU